UGAGCUGCAGCCCUGCAGGGAAGCCAGGCACCAGCAGAAAGCCCUCGGGUGCAUCCUGUGCAGCGCUGUGACCCCGUUUGUCGCUGUCCCCUCCCCACAGGUACAUGCUGAACAACUCCCUGGCUAAGAUACCCAACACCUCCCUGUGUGCGGAGAUGCCGAAGCUGAGCUGGCUGGAUCUGGAGGGGAACAGGAUCCGGGCGGUGCAUGGGGCCGUGUUCCAGGAGUGUCGCGAGCUCACCGUGCUGUGAGUACCCCAGGAUACCCCUGGGUGGGCUGGGGGCAGGGGGGGGCUCUGCUCGGACCCCUUUUCCCUCUGCUCUGGGCUAGGCGAGGGGCUGUGUUUCAUGUGAACGGUUUUGCUCCAUAUUUGUGUUGCUGUCGGCUUCAUGAAUUUGAUACCAGCUCUGUAGGGACCUGGUGGGGCACCCCGGGGCCGUGUCCUGAAGCUCUGGGUCCGGAGGGGGGGUUUCCCCACCAGCAGCAGCCUGGGGCUGCCGGAACCGAGCAGGGUCAGAGGCAGGGCGCAGCACGGAAAAAGCUUCCCAUGGUGCGCAAGCAACGAGGCUCACGGCCAGCCCAAAGCCUUCUGCUGGCAUCCGAAUCCCCUAAAAAUAUCUCUGAGGAGUGCCNNNNNNNNNNCGGAACCGAGCAGGGUCAGAGGCAGGGCGCAGCACGGAAAAAGCUUCCCAUGGUGCGCAAGCAACGAGGCUCACGGCCAGCCCAAAGCCUUCUGCUGGCAUCCGAAUCCCCUAAAAAUAUCUCUGAGGAGUGCCAUAAACUUUGUGAGCUGGCUCUGUGUGUCAAACCCUGAGCGGCUCUGCUUGCUGCCCCCCUGCCUGGGGUCUGUGCCGCUGCUGGGCUGUGCUGUGCCGCGGGCCCUCACGCAGCCUUCCUGGGGCUGCCAGAGGAAAAGAAUUCACCCUGGUAAUGCCCAGGCCUCUCCCGGGGUGUCCCUGUGUGCGAUGGCUGUAUGUCUCCCAGGGGGAUAGAUACAGCUGGGCUCGGUGGGGCUGGGGGCACCCCAGGGAUGUGCCCCGAGCAGAGCACCCUGAGUGCCAGGUGAUGCUGCAGAUGGUGCGCGAGGCUCCGCUGCAUCCACGCUC
rnacentral:lncRNA from 1 species